rnacentral:rRNA from 1 species
AUUGAACGCUGGCGGAAUGCUUUACACAUGCAAGUCGAACGGUAGAGGGGGCAACCCCUCGAGAGUGGCGAACGGGUGAGUAAUAUAUCGGAACGUGCCCAGUCGUGGGGGAUAACGUAGCGAAAGUUACGCUAAUACCGCAUACGAUCUACGGAUGAAAGCGGGGGAUCGCAAGACCUCGCGCGAUUGGAGCGGCCGAUAUCAGAUUAGGUAGUUGGUGGGGUAAAGGCUCACCAAGCCAACGAUCUGUAGCUGGUCUGAGAGGACGACCAGCCACACUGGAACUGAGACACGGUCCAGACUCCUACGGAGGCAGCAGUGGGGAAUUUUGGACGAAUGGACGCAAGUCUGAUCCAGCCAUUCCGCGUGCAGGAUGAAGGCCCUCGGGUUGUAACUGCUUUGUCAGGGAAGAAAUCUUCUGGGCUAAU